GAUGAACGCUGGCGGCGUGCCUAACACAUGCAAGUCGAGCGAUUCUCUUCGGAGAAGAGCGGCGGACGGGUGAGUAACGCGUGGGUAACCUGCCCUGUACACACGGAUACCAUACCGAAAGGUAUGCUAAUACGAGAUAAUAUACUUUUAUCGCAUGGUAGAAGUCUCAAAGCUUUUGCGGUACAGGAUGGACCCGCGUCUGAUUAGCUAGUUGGUAAGGUAACGGCUUACCAAGGCGACGAUCAGUAGCCGACCUGAGAGGGUGAUCGGCCACAUUGGAACUGAGACACGGUCCAAACUCCUACGGGAGGCAGCAGUGGGGAAUAUUGCACAAUGGGCGAAAGCCUGAUGCAGCAACGCCGCGUGAGCGAUGAAGGCCUUCGGGUCGUAAAGCUCUGUCCUCAAGGAAGAUAAUGACGGUACUUGAGGAGGAAGCCCCGGCUAACUACGUGCCAGCCGCCGCAGUAA
rnacentral:rRNA from 1 species